ensembl:lncRNA
UACCACUUGCAGCAACUGGAACAAGAGCAUAUGUGCAGAACCCUUUGGUCCAGUCCUCAGCUGCUGUGAAUUCUAGUUGUUAUUAUGUGAAGUAACUCAUAUGUCUCAUUUUGCAGACGCAUUUUCAGGUAUAAAAAUAUAAUUCUUGAGCAGCUCAUUCCUCUGGGUAAUCCCUAUUAUCCUACAGCACAGCGGAUAUUCUAGAAGGACUCGCGUGAUGGUAGGGCAUCAAACAAUCUAAGCACAUAUGCCUUUGUGUUAUGAUCUCUUCUCAAAGCUGCCUCCCUUCCCUCCUAUCACUUCCCAGAUUCAAUUGCAGUGCACCUUCUGCUCUGCCUUAUCGAUACAGGGCUGUCA